UACGUAGGGUGCAAGCGUUAAUCGGAAUUACUGGGCGUAAAACGUGCGCAGGCGGUUUUGUAAGUCUGACGUGAAAUCCCCGGGCUCAACCUGGGAAUUGCGUUGGAGACUGCAAGGCUAGAAUCUGGCAGAGGGGGGUAGAAUUCCACGUGUAGCAGUGAAAUGCGUAGAGAUGUGGAGGAACACCGAUGGCGAAGGCAGCCCCCUGAGUCAAGAUU
rnacentral:rRNA from 1 species